rnacentral:rRNA from 1 species
CCCCUAGAUGUUCUGGGCCGCACGCGCGCUACACUGAACAGUUCAACAAGUCUUAACCUUGGCCGAUAGGUCUGGGUAAUCUUUGAACGCUGUUCGUGAUUGGGAUAGACCUUUGCAAUUAUGGGUCUUCAACGAGGAAUUCCUAGUAAACGCAAGUCAUCAGCUUGCAUUGAUUACGUCCCUGCCCUUUGUACACACCGCCCGUCGCACCUAACGAUUGAAUGGUCCGGUGAAAUCUCGGGACGGCGGCUUGGUCGCUUGCGUCCGACUGCUGAAACUUGAUUAAACCAUAUCAUUUAGAGGAAGGUGAAGUCGUANCA